CUUCCAGCAUUCCAAAACUAAAAGCGGUUAUCGGUUUUCGGUUCUCAAAUUUACGGUUUUUACCGGUUUUCGUUACAAACCGGUUACCGGUUUUAAGCCCUGCUUUUCUCAAUCCACCUAUAUAUUUUUUACAUUUUAAAGUGUUCAUAUCAGUACCUACAAAUAUGGCUAUAUCAUUAUAAGUUAUCACAUAGGUAACACUAAAUAACUAUCAUAAUACAGUCAUGGAGGACGUAGGCGGUAGGUACACUCACGUCAUAUUAAUAUAAUAAACCUAAAUGGUUGUAUUCACGUCAUAAUUCAAGAUUCAACUUGUUAACUCUUCACAAGUUCGUAUUUUUCACUAUUAAAAUAAACUAUACGUUAAUGAAUAUUAUUACUUUGAUAAUCUCUACCACCUGUAAAAUUGAUUUUUUCGAAGUAAACAAGAUAGUGGAAUGUUAUCACUUAUCAGAUGUUUGAGUUGAAAAUGAUUUAGAAGUACUACAAAAUAUUGAAUUAGACCAACUUGCGGAGUGUAAAUUAAAUUUCAUUUGAAAAUUGAGCCAAAAAAGUUGUUGAUGCAUAUUUUUUUUUACUUUUCCAUUAUGAAGUCUUCAGAGGAAAGAAAACUACUGAAAAAAAUUAGAGAAAUCAGAAGACUGUUAAUAUACGGCACACCAGGCUGUGCGUAUUUUUUCACCUGUCGAGAAACUGUGCAAAGUUUGCUGCUGCGUCGACGACCAACGAACUAUCUUCGCUUAUCGGCUGCCACUUCAGACAAGCGCACCAGUG